GACAUAGAUGCGUAGUGAAUACAAGCUAAAAACUUAUAUAACAAAAAAUAUAAACUUAAUCCCAAGAACACCCAGUUACAGCUAUAUAUAAGUGAAAUAAUUUUGGCAUUAACCUAAGCAAUGCCCUUUUGUGAAAGUUUUCAUUGAGCUAUAUUGUAAUACAAAACAAAAACAUUUCUUUUAUUCAGCUGUUCAUUCUUUGA